rnacentral:lncRNA from 14 species
AUGGUUCACUUCUGUACAAUCUGGAAGAACCUCCAGAGUGCUGAACAUACCAGAUAUUCCUUUCUUUUUUUUCAGAAUAAAAGCUCGUCAGUGACUUCUUUACCUCCAGUAGUCCACUCUCUUAAGUCUUUGCUAAUACAACUUGGAAUAAGUACAUGUCUGUCUUUAGGGCUUAUAUGAAUAAGGUCUGACAUCCCUUAGGGCAUGAAAGUGCCAGCUGGACAACAGGAAGAAAACAAAAGACCUGGAGAUCAAAAUGACUUGAGCAGAAUCACACAACAGUGACCAGUGCUUCAACGUCCUACUCAUUAGACCUGGACAGAUAUUUCAAGGUGCCAGGAUGACCUGAGCAAGACUGGAUACAAGAAGUGCAGAGGGAUUUUUGGCUGAGAAGUGACUCA